rnacentral:rRNA from 1 species
AGUGAACGCUGGCGGUAGGCCUAACACAUGCAAGUCGAACGGCAGCACAGUAAGAGCUUGCUCUUACGGGUGGCGAGUGGCGGACGGGUGAGGAAUACAUCGGAAUCUACUUUUUCGUGGGGGAUAACGUAGGGAAACUUACGCUAAUACCGCAUACGACCUACGGGUGAAAGCAGGGGAUCUUCGGACCUUGCGCGAUUGAAUGAGCCGAUGUCGGAUUAGCUAGUUGGCGGGGUAAAGGCCCACCAAGGCGACGAUCCGUAGCUGGUCUGAGAGGAUGAUCAGCCACACUGGAACUGAGACACGGUCCAGACUCCUGCGGGAGGCAGCAGUGGGGAAUAUUGGACAAUGGGCGCAAGCCUGAUCCAGCCAUACCGCGUGGGUGAAGAAGGCCUUCGGGUUGUAAAGCCCUUUUGUUGGGAAGGAAAAGCAGCAGGUUAAUACCCCGCUGUUCUGACGGUACCCAAAGAAUAAGCACCGGCUAACUUCGUG